AAGAAUUUUCAAUUUCGCUUCUCUCCAAAUCUGCGUCUCCUCCCCUGUGCCGUUCCCCUCUCUCUUUCUUCCCCCCGUUCGCAUCCUUCCCCCCCGCCUCUCUCUCCCCCGUCUGCAUCUCCCCAGAGCAUUCUUGGAGUUGACAUUGAAAAUUUUUGACCCACCAUGAACGCAAAAGGGCAAAAACAAACCAAAACGGCAAGAUCCCGAGAAAUCAAAAGGACAAAAUCAAGAAUAAAAAAGUAAGAACGAUGGUCGAGGCUGGAGAUUUGGAGCUGAGUGGCCUUCAUCGCCAUCAACAGUUCACCUCUCAAUUUUCUCUCCGUUGACGAUGUGGGCAGCAAAUGAGGCUUUAUGUGAAAUUUGAAUUGCAUAGAGUUUAGACAUUGAGGCAAUCAGAUCCUGGAGCUUGGGUGCUAUUUCUGUGAUUACCAAGAGAGCUGGGAACUAAAGGUCAAACACUUGUGAAAACCAUCACUGGAGUAAUAUGAUUAGAAGUAACAACAGGAACACGACAAAUUUAAGUUAUUAGCUUUCUCUUUUUUGGAGUUGAUAAUUAAUUUAUAUAAUAAUAAUCUCUUGAGUGGGCAAGACAAUUUCGCUUGCUGAUCCAGUAAUGAAUACUAGUCUGGAGGAUUGCAGAAUUUAAAUAGUGGGAAUCUUUUGGAUUUGCUAAUGCCAUUAAUUGAUUUUAAGUUCCAACGACCAUGUUAAUUGUCCUCUAGCUCUUUGUAUUACUCUUUCAUGUCCCUCUUAUAAUUAUGGAUUUUUGACUGUUAUGAAAUAAUCUCCUAAACUCAAGUUACUCUUGCAUUUCAUUAAAUCUAAUUUAUUAACAUUUUGUGAAACUACAGGAGAGUUGAUUGAUAUAAUUUUUGUUCUAAUUUUACAGUUUAGGAAGUGUUAGAUGUUGAGUGACUUGAGUCAAAUGCCAUACCUCUAAUUUUUGUUUCUUUAUUAUUGAUUUUAAGUUGAUAAAUUUAGUUACUUUAAACUUUUAUAAAUUAAAAAAAUCGAUUGCUUGCUAUGACUUAGGAUGUAAUGAUUUGGAUCUCUGUACCCAAGCCUUUAUAUUACGUACUAUCCGCUUUGGACGUGCCUUGCGUCCACUUACUCCUCAUGGCUUUCUAUCGCUUCUCCUAGGAUUCGAACUCAUAACCCUUCCCUUAAUUAAGACUUAAGUUGAAUCUUGGUACCAAUUGGGUGAGAGCUCCGAGCUCAUGGAAUUGGUAUCCCAAUGAGUCGUCUAUCGAAUCGUUGCAAUUGAUGUUUGAUUCCGAAGAGAAAUCAUCGCACCUACGGUCUAACCAAUUGGGAGAGAAUCAAUAGAUUCCUUUUCGGGAGUGAUUCAUCUGAGGAAACCUUUGCACGCCUCCGUUACCUUUUGGGAACAAAUUGAUAGGAUCCCCAUGUCGCCAGUUGCCCAAUUGGUACCAGGAUCCAACUUAAGUCUUAUUUAAGGGAAAUGUUAUGAGUUCGAAUCUUGGAGGACGCGACAUAAAGCCGUGAGGGAUAAGUGGGCGCAAGGUCUGCCCAAAGCGGACAGUACGUAAGUUAACGGUUUGGGUACAGAGACCCGGGUUGUUACAUAGGAGGCCAAAUUCUAAAGUUCGCCUCACGACCUGUGAAACACAGAUCCGGCCCUAUUUGGGAAUGCGUACCAUAUGCAAGGGACUAAUGGGGAUUUUGUUUUUGGACAUUAGUUAUGUUUGAUUAGUAUGAAGUUUCUAAUAUUGCAGAAUAUCUAAAUGCAAUCCAGUUCAGCUGUGAAGUUAUGAUGAUUACCAUUUAUGAUCUGAUAUUAAAUCUUAUGAGGAAAUUAUGACAUGAUUACAGUGUUAAGUUUGAAGGGAUUGGAUAUGAAUUUGAGCAAUUUGUAACUCAACUGCUAAUUUGGUCUUGACACAAACUUUUUGCAUUGGCGCUGAAGAUCUACUUUGCUAUUAUUUGCAUCUACAUUGGCUCCCAAUUUAUAGAAAAACUGUUGGUCAUUUGUGCUAAACUUCGAGUUGAGGUUUCUUGCCACUUCCUUUGGUUUACCUAUGAUCUUAAAAUUUUUUCCGAAGUUGGUAACAUGAAGUAGGUAAUUAAUCUACUACCUUGUGGGUGCUUGUUUAACAUGGAUGCUAAUAAUUUUCAGUAAUUUAUUUUCCUUAAGGAUAAAAGCUUAUUUAAUUUCGUCUUUCUACACAACAACUGAUGCUCUUUUACAAAAUUUUGGGCAAUGUGGUCCAUCUUGUUGUCUUUGUUUAUUACGUGUUGUUGUACUCUGAUAUCUUUUAUUGUAUGUGCGUGCAUAUGGCAUGUUAUGCCAUUAUAUGAUUUCAAUAUUGCUGUCAACAUUAAUUUCUAUUCAAAUUUGGAUGGUAGGUAUAUUUCAAUUUUCCCCAGGGAUGUGAUGUCUGUAAUCAUCUCUGUUUAUUUCUGUGUGGUUAAAUCAUGACAAGCUUCUUCCAGGAUGGAGUCAUUUUGUGCAGCUCACUAUUGCUGUGUGAACAAAGAUGCUAAAAGGUCCAAGUAUUCUGCACUAAAAUUGAAGUCACAUACGAGGAGGCUGUUGCUUUAAACUGGCAAGAAGAGCUUAUCAGUGAAGAGGCAGCUUGGAUGGUCGAGAAUGAGCAGAACGCAAAAUGUGGAUCAGCUGACAGGGAAAAGAAGUCAAAGAAAAAGUAGGUUUGGUAAAAUCAGUUUAUACCUCGUGAACACUAGUUCCAUCCAAUUGGAAAUAGAGAAGAUGGGGUUACAGUUGAAGUUGUUGAACUUUUACUAGUUAGACAAUAGAAAAUGUUGAUAUCUAGGAUGUGUAUUGCGUUAGUCAAGAAAAAGGUGGCAUUGUCCUUCAAAUUUUUCUUCUUCAGUGAGAUCAAGUUCGUGAAGUAUUGCAUUUUUGUUUCUGUGAACAUAUUUUGGCUUUGUAAUCAAUGUUAAAUGUAUGAUAUCUUGUAAGAUUCUAUGCAAUGGAAA